GGGUUGAUGGCGCAGUUGGAUAGCGCGUAGGUCUCAAAGCCGAGGUCGAGAGUUCGAGACUCUCUCACCA
rfam:Triticum aestivum genome assembly, contig: Triticum_aestivum_CS42_TGACv1_scaffold_001426_1AL